rnacentral:rRNA from 1 species
CUACGGGCGGCUGCAGUCGAGAAUCUUUGGCAAUGGACGAAAGUCUGACCAAGCGACGCCGCGUGCGGGAUGAAGGCCUUCGGGUUGUAAACCGCUGUCAGUUGGGAGGAAAUCACAUGGGGUCCUCUCCAUGUGUUGACCUAUCUUCAGAGGAAGGACGGGCUAAGUUCGUGCCAGCAGCCGCGGUAAGACGAACCGUCCAAACGUUAUUCGGAAUCACUGGGCUUAAAGGGUGCGUAGGCGGCCCUGUAAGUUGGGUGUGAAAUCCCUCGGCUCAACCGAGGAAUUGCGCCCAAUACUGCAGGGCUAGAGGGAGACAGAGGUGAGCGGAACUUGUGGUGGAGCGGUGAAAUGCGUUGAUAUCACAAGGAACACCUGUGGCGAAAGCGGCUCACUGGGUCUCUUCUGACGCUGAGGCACGAAAGCUGGGGGAGCGAACGGGAUUAGAUACCCGGGUAGUC